rnacentral:rRNA from 1 species
ACCGAAUAGAUACCCGGGUAGUCCACGCCGUAAACUAUGAACGCUAGCCCGUUGGCGAGCUUGCUCGUCAGUGGCGCAGCUAACGCAUUAAGCGUUCCGCCUGGGGAGUACGGCCGCAAGGUUGAAACUCAAAGAAAUUGACGGGGGCCCGCACAAGCGGUGGAGCAUGUGGUUUAAUUCGACGCAACGCGCAGAACCUUACCAGGGUUUGACGUCCCGAGACCGCUGCUGAAAGGCAGUUUCCCGCAAGGGCUCGGAGACAGGUGCUGCAUGGCUGUCGUCAGCUCGUGUCGUGAGAUGUUGGGUUAAGUCCCGCAACGAGCGCAACCCUCGCCUUUAGUUGCCAUCAUUAAGUUGGGCACUCUAGAGGGACCGCCGGCGACAAGCCGGAGGAAGGUGGGGAUGACGUCAAGUCCUCAUGGCCCUUACACCCUGGGCUACACACGUGCUACAAUGGCGGUGACAGUGAGCAGCUAACUCGCGAGAGUGUGCUAAUCUCCAAAAACCGGUCCCAGUUCAGAUUGCACUCU